UGCCCCCGGUUGAGUACGGAAAUGUGCUAAUAUCUAUAUUUGACAAUUUCCUUAAUAAAGGGUGGCCAAAGCAAAUGCCUGCAGCUGGCGGAUUUGCCUCAUUUUGAUGGCAAAGCAUUAAAUCCAGCCAGCUGCAGCAACAACU
rnacentral:snoRNA from 1 species